UUAGCAUAUCAAUAAGCGGAGGAAAAGAACUAACAGGAUUCCCCUAGUAACUGCGAGUGAAGCGGGAAAAGCUCAAAUUUAAAAUCUGGCGGUCUUUGGCCGUCCGAGUUGUAAUCUAGAGAAGUAAUGCCCGUGCUGGACCGUGUAUAAGUCUCCUGGGAUGGGGCGUCAUAGAGGGUGAGAAUCCCGUCUUUGACACGGACUACCAGUGCAUUGUGGUAUGCUCUCAAAGAGUCGAGUUGUUUGGGAAUGCAGCUCAAAAUGGGUGGUAAAUUCCAUCUAAAGCUAAAUAUUGGCGAGAGACCGAUAGCGAACAAGUACCGUGAGGGAAAGAUGAAAAGAACUUUGGAAAGAGAGUUAAACAGUACGUGAAAUUGCUGAAAGGGAAACGCUUGAAGUCAGUCGCGUUGGCCAGGGAUCAGCCUUGCUUUUGCAUGGUGUACUUUCUGGUUGACGGGUCAGCAUCAAUUUUGACCGCUGGAAAAAGGCUUGGGGAAUGUGGCAGCAUUGGCUGUGUUAUAGCCCCUGGUCACAUACAGCGGUUGGGAUUGAGGAACUCAGCACGCCGCAAGGCCGGGUUUCGACCACGUUCGUGCUUAGGAUGCUGGCAUAAUGGCUUUAAGCGACCCGUCUUGAAACACGGACCAAGGAGUCUAACAUGCCUGCGAGUAUUUGGGUGGAAAACCCGAGUGCGCAAUGAAAGUGAAAGUUGAGAUCCCUGUCGUGGGGAGCAUCGACGCCCGGACCAGAACUUUUGCGACGGAUCCGCGGUGGAGCAUGUAUGUUGGGACCCGAAAGAUGGUGAACUAUGCCUGAAUAGGGUGAAGCCAGAGGAAACUCUGGUGGAGGCUCGUAGCGAUUCUGACGUGCAAAUCGAUCGUCAAAUUUGGGUAUAGGGGCGAAAGACUAAUCGAACCAUCUAGUAGCU
rnacentral:rRNA from 1 species